GAUGAACGCUGGCGGCGUGCUUAACACAUGCAAGUCGAACGAAGCACUUUAUUUGAUUUCCUUCGGGAUUGAUUAUUUUGUGACUGAGUGGCGGACGGGUGAGUAACGCGUGGGUAACCUGCCUUGUACAGGGGGAUAACAGUUGGAAACGGCUGCUAAUACCGCAUAAGCGCACGGCAUCGCAUGAUGCAGUGUGAAAAACUCCGGUGGUAUAAGAUGGACCCGCGUUGGAUUAGCUAGUUGGUGAGGUAACGGCCCACCAAGGCGACGACCCAUAGCCGACCUGAGAGGGUGACCGGCCACAUUGGGACUGAGACACGGCCCAAACUCCUACGGGAGGCAGCAGUGGGGAAUAUUGCACAAUGGGCGAAAGCCUGAUGCAGCGACGCCGCGUGAGCGAAGAAGUAUUUCGGUAUGUAAAGCUCUAUCAGCAGGGAAGAUAAUGACGGU
rnacentral:rRNA from 1 species